rnacentral:lncRNA from 1 species
AACAAUCAUACAAGCAUAACACUUAUGCUCCCACUAUCAUGAUGAUUAUCAUAUAAGCAUAACAUUUAUGCUCCCACUAGCUUUGACAUGUAUUCAGAAAACAAAUGAACUUUCAGAAAACAAUGCCUAUUGAAUCUCUGAAAUCCAUAUUUCUAAUACCAGAUGCUUCGAUAAGCCUUUAUCUAAGCUUCUUAACCUUAUACACCUUUGCCUUAGAUAGCUCAUAUGUGUGUUUAAACAAUUCAUAACUUAUGUUACUAAGUUCCAAAUGUUGAAACUAAUUGCCAAAUCUCACAAUUCGAACUAUGGAAAGGGAUGCCGUAACCAUAAUCGAAUUUGAGAAUACAAUUUUCACAAUUGCUAUCUUCUUAAAAUCUCUCUUAGUGAAAGCAUUUCCUCACAGUCAUUUUCAUGAAGAAGGGAAUCUUAUGACACUUAGAUUUUAUGGUGUAUGUGUUCCUAUCCAUGUGAAUUUGCCAAAACCAAAGUUUGCAAUAAACCUAAACUCAUAUGGACCGAACUUUCUUAAUUUUGAUUUCUUGCUUUAUGGUAACACGAGUGCCCACCAUGUCUUCCAAGUAGUUUAGCAACUUAUCCUUACAUAUCAAUGUACUUUCCAUUGAUCAAGGCGCUUUGUCUUUAUGCAUUCAAAUGAGAACUCAUAGAAUUCACAUACAUAAUUAGCUCAAUUGGAAUGGCACAGAAACAAAAUAAUGUCAACACGAUAGGUUGUAAACCUCAAGUCGUGUGCUAGUGAUGAUUGAUAAGGUUUAUUCUUGAUUUGUUCUCGAAACCUUUNAGGUUUAUUCUUGUUCUCGAAACCUUUUUCAAGAUGAUUAAAACUCCCACUGACCUUUUGACAUAGAUGAUUCUCUUGUCAGGAACCUUUCCUAGAAAAAACAAAUAUUCAAGAGUUAGUGUAGUUCUUAUCAAGACAAAACACUUCACAUCAUCGGUUCUAGUUGGUCUUUGUCUUAUCCAAGACAACACAACUUACCAAUUUCAAAUGUGCAAGAAUA